GUGGGCCUUGCAGCCCUCGAGCGCGUCAGAAGGCGGCAGGCCUCGCGCAUCACUUGGCUGAAGGCGGGUGACGCUUCCACAGAAUUUUUUCAGGCAAAGCAAACCUCCAGGCGACGAAGAAACUUCAUUCAGUGCAUCCAAUCGGCAGGCGGCCUCAAGACUAGCCACGCUGACAAGGUGGCCGCUGUGCACAAGCACUUCUCUUCCUUGCUGGGGCAGAAAAGAAAUCGGCCUCGCACGAUCAACUGGGAGGCGCUGGGGCUACCAAGGCUGCAAGCUGGGGGCGGACUCGACAACCCCUUCUCGGAGGCAGAGGUU
rnacentral:rRNA from 1 species